GAUUAAGCCAUGCAUGUCUAAGUACAUGCCGUAUAAAGGCGAAACCGCGAAUGGCUCAUUAAAUCAGCCGUGGUUCAUUGAAACGUACUUUUUUACUUGGAUAACUGUGGUAAUUCUAGAGCUAAUACAUGCAGCAGAGCUCCGACCCGCAAGGGGACGAGCGCUUUUAUUAGACCAAGACCAAUCGGACCUCGGUCCGUGUUCUGUGGCGACUCUGUAUAACUUUUGGCUGAUCGCACGGGCGCGACCCGGCGACGCUUUCUUCAAGUGUCUGCCCUAUCAACUGUCGAUGGUAGGUUAUGCGCCUACCAUGGUCGUAACGGGUAACGGGGAAUCAGGGUUCGAUUCCGGAGAGGGAGCCUGAGAAACGGCUACCACAUCCAAGGAAGGCAGCAGGCGCGCAAAUUACCCAAUCCCGGCUCGGGGAGGUAGUGACGAAAAAUAACGAUACGGGACUCUUUUGAGACCCCGUAAUCGGAAUGAGAACAACCUAAAUCCUUUACCGAGGAACCACCGGAGAGCAAGUCUAGUGCCAGCAGUCGCAGUAAGUCUAGCUCCGGUAGCGUAUAUUAAAGUUGUUGCGGUUAAAAAGCUCGUAGUUGGAUCUGAGUUCCAGACGGACGGUCUGCCUAACGGCGGUCACUGCUCCGCCUGAACAACCAGCCGGUUUCCCUAGAUGAUCUUCGCUGGUUGUCCUGGGUGACCGGCGCGUUUACUUUGAAAAAAUUAGAGUGCUCAAAGCAGGCUGGUAGCCGGAAUAGUGGUGCAUGGAAUAAUGGAAUAGGACCUCGGUUCUAUUUUGUUGGUUUUCGGAACACGAGGUAAUGAUUAAGAGGGACAGACGGGGGCAUUCGUAUUGCGGCGCUAGAGGUGAAAUUCUUGGACCGCCGCAAGACAAACUACUGCGAAAGCAUUUGCCAAGAAUGUUUCCAUUAAUCAAGAACGAAAGUUAGAGGCUCGAAGGCGAUCAGAUACCGCCCUAGUUCUAACCAUAAACGAUGCCAACCAGCGAUCCGCCUGGGUUCCUCAAAUGACUCGGCGGGCAGCUUCCGGGAAACCAAAGUCUUUGGGUUCCGGGGGGAGUAUGGUUGCAAAGCUGAAACUUAAAGAAAUUGACGGAAGCGCACUCCAGAUGUGGAGCCUGCGGCUCAAUUUGACUCAACACGGGGAAAUUCACCUGACCCUGACGCUGGAAGGAUUGACAGAUUGAGAGCUCUUUCUUGAUUCAGCGGGUAGUGGUGCAUGUCCGUUCUUAGUUGGUGGAGUGAUUUGUCUGAUCAAUUUCGAUAACGAACGAGACUCUAGCCUGCUAAAUAGGCGUUUUCCGAUCCACUUUGUCGGACGCUUCUUCUUAGAGGGACGGGCGGUUUCCAGCCGCACGAAACUGAGCAAUAACAGGUCUGUGAUGCCCUUCGACGACCAGGGCCGCACGCGCGCUACAAUGAAAGAAUCAGCGUGUGCUUCCCCUGUCCGGUAGGACUGGGUAAUCCGAUGAAACUCUUUCGUGCUUGGAAUCGAUCUCUGUAACUGCGAUCGUGAACGAGGAAUAUCCAGUAAGCGCGAGUCAUCAGCUCGCGUUGAUUACGUCCCUGCGCUUUGUGCACACCGCCCGUCGCUGUUUUCGAUUGGCCGGUGUAGUGAGAUCUUCGGACCUGCGUUCCGGACGGACUCGUCCGCUUCGGGAUUGCGGGGAAGAUGAUCGAACUUGACCGGCUAGAGAAAGCAAAAGUCG
rnacentral:rRNA from 1 species